rnacentral:lncRNA from 1 species
UCAAAUUUUCCUAAGUUUGAAUGCAUCUAUAAUAAUAUGGAAAGCAGUAAAAACACAAGAUUUGUUGAUGGAAAAACCAACGUGGGAAAAACUUCGGGACUAAGCCAGUUACCUCCACUAUAGACGAUUAAGGAUACAGUGUGAUUCCACUCUAGCAACUUUCACUAGUUCUAGCUCUUGUAAUUCCUGUAAUCUCUAAGAUUGGCUAUCAAUCUUCAAGUAUCAUGAUCUGCUGCCGUAGAUACUAUCUAGCCACUCAACUAGACUUCCCGAUCUACCUCCUACAACCUCCAAGAUCUACUAUCUUCUUCCAGCCUCCAGAUCUUAUACCAAUUGUCUCUUAUAAGUGGAAUUUCAAGAACCUCCUGUGCUUUUCAUGAGCUUGAAGUCCACAUCUCUCAAUCUCCAGUGAGAGAGUCACUUCCUCAAAGAAUUAAGGAAGCCAGGUCCUUUGGAUUCUCGAACCUUUGAUGUUUUUCCAAAACUUGGUUGCCAGAUCAAAAACUAUUUUUAACGCUUGAGCAACAACUUGGUGAAAAGCUAGCCAAAAUUCAGUGAGUCUUCUACCUUGUUUCAAACUCAAACACUAGUCUAAACCAUCUAUACAAAUUGACUUUUUACACAUGAUCAAUUAAGUCCUUUUUGUUCAUAGAAUUGCCAAUUACAACAUUGGACCUAACAACCUUGAAAAAAGCCUUGGCAUUUUGGAGCUCCUUCGUCAAUUCCAUCAAAGACGUGUUCAUCUUGUCUAGAUUUAUUUAACUUCAGACUUUGAGAACAUCUUAGGGAAUGUCUCAAGAACCAUAUCGAUCUCAAUCCCAAAUCAAUGUUAGCUCUAAAAACUCCACCACUAAAUGGUGGUAGUAGGCAAUGGAGAUGAGCAGUGGUGAAGGCGAAGAUGAAGAUGAUGGUUGAAAAUAGUGAUUGACGAGGUAGUGUUUGGGUUUGAGAACAAGUAACACAGUGACAUAAACGUUAAUCUAUGGAUCAAAAAGUCACACAAAUAAUAUAUGGUAACACAACACAUUAUGCAUAUAUAACAUUGAUUUUACCUUGGAGUGUAGCUUAAAAUAUCUAAAAAGGUUGAAAAAACCUCUCCAUUUUCUCUCGUUUGUCAUUUCAAUAUCCGCGAGUUCAGAUCGUAUACAAGAAUCAAUCAAAGUAGUCCGUCCCCUUCUUAAGUUCUAGAUAUCAGCUCUUUCACUUGGUGUUCCCUAUUCUAAAACAUCAACACCAGCACCAGCUUUACCUUGAACUUCGACUUAGAUAGUUUUUUACUAUAGUAGGAGUAUCAUUCUCUCUGUCUUAUUCUUCACCUGAAUCCUAUUUCCUCGAAAAUAGUUUCAUUGAUUUUAUCCUGGGCAGAGGCAGUAAUUAUAUGAUUUUUCUUCUUUGGUUAUAAAGUUUCUUAUUGAAUAAUAAAACAAUUAAAUAAAAUUUAUAAAACUAACAAACAGUUUAGAAUUUACUUUCAACAUGUACUAACUCUAGGUUAUAUAGAAUAUUAGAUAAAUAUUUAUCACUAUUUUUCUUUAGGGUAAGAUAAUGUCUAUAGGAGCUUGGAUAAUCAUUAUGCAUAUUAUUGACUAGAUUUAUAAAAUUUUAAUUUAAUUCAUUUUCUAUUGGUUAUGUAAAUAUAUUAGUAGAGUAAUCAAUCUAUCUAAAGCUUAAAUAUGCCGCCAAAAUUUAUAAUCGUUGUUUUCAAAUGACUCACUAUCUUGCAACAAUAUAUUUGAAGUAAAUUUAUAUCGUUUUAAUACAAUAAUAAUGAUUAUCAAUAUAUAAUGGUUCAAGCUACACUUCAAAAUAAAGUUGAUCUUUUGAUGUGUAACUUAAGUUUCAAUAUUUAGUGACAUAAACAUGAUCUUCUCAAGUGGAACAAGACGAAACAAUCCAAGUUAUUUUUUAAUAACUUAAGAUUAAACUUCAAACACUGAAGCUCUUGUGAAUAUAAGGGUUUUAUAAAAGGGUCAAAAAGAAUUUAAUGAAAGUACAUAUUAGUGAAUGAAUUUAGAAUGAUAUAUUUUUAUUUAAUUUUAUAUAUGUCUAUUUUAAGUAAAUUCACAUAAUAUUAAAAAUAUAAUACAAUUUUCUUUUUUUAAAGUCGAUAUAUUUAACAAUAUGAUAAAACCUAAAUCUUAUUCUCAAUAAGUAUGAAAUUAUUUAUGUUAAAAUUUUUCUUUUGUUGUUUCAUGUCCCAUGCUGUGUGGGUCGGUCCUUAGGCACUUAGGCCCUGUUCUCUUUACCGUUUUCGGGUCGUUUUCUGUUUUCGAUUUUUCAAAACGGUGAAAACGUGUUCUCUUUCCCGUUUUCGAAAACGAAUUUUCGAAAACGUUUUCGAAAACGAAAAAAAUUUGUGAAGAAAACACAAAACGACUUUUUUGUCGUUUUGGGCGUUUUCAGUGUAAAACUUGAAAAAAUUGAAAACGCGAGAAACACUUUUUUUUUUUUUUUUUUUUUUUUUUUUUUUUUGGGGGGGGGGGGGGGGGUUUUUUCAAUUUUCAAAAAAAAAAAAAAAAAAAAAAAAAAAAAAUAUAUAUAUAUAUAUAUAUAUAUAUUAAAAAUUAAAAUUUUUUUUUUUUUGAGGAGAUAGUGUGAUGAUUCUCAAAAUUUAAAAAAUAAAAAUAAAAAUUAAUUUUUUUUUUUUUUUUUGGUGUUUUGAGGUGGUGUUGUGGUGAUUCUCAAAAUUCUAAAAAAAAAAUUAUUUUUUUUUUGUUUUGAGAAACUAACAAAAAGAACGCAUUUUCAAGAAUUUCAAAACAAAAACUCAAAAUACAAAACUCAAAAUGAAUUCAAAACUCAAAACACAAAACUGAAACACAAAGAGAACACCCCUUAGCCUCGCAGAAUUCAUAUUUCUUUUCCUUUUCAAAUGUAUGUCAUGAUGAACAAAAGCAAUAAUUUUCGAGUUCGAGCUUGAUGUAAUAAAAUAUAUAUUUUUUGCCUUGCAUUUGUCAAUUACACAAAAAGUUAAUUUAUGCAUCGAUUCUUGCAUCCAAGACACCAUGGUUGUGCUUGCACCUCUCGUAACUAUUUACCAUCUAUCACUUGAGAUAGUAAAAACUUGCUUUAUAUAUCUUCUAAUAAAUUUAAUAUUCAAGUUAACUGGGUUGUGGAAAAGGAUAUAUGCAACUUAUUAAAAAUUUAUUGAGAACAAAAAUAAAUUUGUUUGUUGUCAUCAUUGUCACAACUUAUAUAAAUAGAAACUAAAGUAAUUCAUCUAAAAUCCAAAUAAAUGUUUACAAUCUUCAAAGAAUCUAAAUUUGUAGUAGGUAAUAUUCAUAGUGCAACUAAUCUACUUGAAAAAUAUCCAAUUACUAUAGAUCUUACAGGUGAACCUAGUAAUGAACCUGAUCCGAACGAGGUACAAUCAUUAUAUUAAUAUAGUUAACCCUGAAAUAGAUUCAGCCCCAACAAGCCUCGAAACAAAUGUAAUUCAUCUAAAAUCCAAAUAAACGCCUACAAGCUUGAAGAAUCUUGCCUUUCUUCUUGGGUUUUGCCAGUGAAUUUGAGUUCUUCAAGUGUUCAUCAUCAUCAUGAUCAGCAGUUAAAUCAGUCUGUUGAUGGAUUCUACUAUACCCUUCAGACACUGAAGAAGAUUUCUUUAAAAAAAAAGACCUCUUCACCGCUGUUUGAACAUAUGAUUUCUCAGUCAUGUCCCUAUGGGAAGGGACAGAGCAUUUUCUCUUCAAUAUUUCUCCAAAAAUCUCUCCUAUGCCAUCCUCAAUUUUGUGUUCGGCUAUUGAAUCCGGCAUUCUGGGAUUGUUUUUAGGGCUCUUUUGUUUUAUUUCCAUGGAUUUCGGGGUGUUUUUAGCAUUGGAUCUUGGUGUAUACGAUGGGAAAGAAAGAUCAGAAAGAUCUAUAGAUUUUGAUCUGGUUUUACUGACGUGUCUGAUUCUUGAGUAUGAGCCACUCAUUUUUUUCCAAGAAAAUUGUGGAUUUGGGAUCAAUUUCAGUGGAAUGGGAAAGAAAGAAGACGAGAGAGAAACUAAAAUAAGAAGUCAAUACAUAAAUAGAAGACCCAUAACAUGCAAAAGUGAUUGACAGAAAAUAAAGAGUGAUGCCAUGUACAGGAGAUUGAGACAUGCUUGACUUCCUGCUCAGGAGGAGGAGAUAUUAGUUGAAUUUAGAUGAAGCUGUCCAAUAUGAUAAUAGAAAUUUUGGCCCAAUAUAUUAAAACAUACUUAAAGGCAAUGUUUUCUAAGCAAAAUUGGACAAUGAGAGGUCUAGGAUCGACCUUACCAAACAAGUCAUAAAUGUAGGUUUAGUACGCGGGAUUUGUUCAUUAAAGGACUUGUAUAUACCAUCUUAUAUAGUCUUAUCCAAUCCAACCUGGCAUGAAUGUUUUAUGUGGAAAUUACAUAAUCUAAUACAUUUACAAAUUCCAUUUCACAUAUCAUAUGUGAAGUUUAGUUUUUCAAAAAUCAAAAUUUUUAAAUUUAUUAAUAUAUUAAAAAAUUAAUUAAUCAAUUUACCUAAACACAAUUUCAAUCCCUAAUUUAUUUCUCCCCACGUCGCUCUCUAUUCUCAGCUCUGCCAGAAUCCUCAUUUCUCUCUCUCUGUAUAUUGUUGUCUCUCUCUCGGCCGGACUGAAGUCGCACGAUCACCCCUUCAUUCACCGGUGCUUCCACUCACAGUACCAUUACGAAGUUAAGUGCUUGCUGCGAUUCAGCGUGAAGCGCUUGCUACGAUUCGGAAAGUAGCCCACUGGAGUGAAGCACUUGCUGUGAUUCGGCACGAUCUUCAUUUGCAUCUGUGAUAGAGAUAAAGGAGAUGGUGGACUUGAGGAGGUGGUUGUGGUGAUUGUUGAUUCAUACGACUGUAGUUGUAGCGAUGGCAACGGGUGGUUGCACUCAAUGAUGUGCAGCAGCGGUGAUUGUGAGUGAGAUGGUGGUGGAGAUAGGUCUACUGAGGUUGUGGUGGAUCUCGUAUGUGGUGUUAUUUUCCUGUGACGUGUGGAUUUGUUUGAGACAGCGACGACGGUGAUUGUGCUAUUUGGAGUUGGUGGUGAUAAGUUAUUUGUUUAGUGGUGUGGCAGUGUGUGGCGGUGGUGUGAAGAUGUGUGUGGCGUGGAGGUGGCAAUGUGUGGUGAUGGUGUGGGGGUGUGUGGGAGUGAUGUAUGUUGAUUUUGUUUGGGAUAGUGGUGUUGCUGUGGGGUAAUGGUGGUGGUGGUUUUGGCCGUGACAAUGCGUUUGUGAUUGAGACAGUAGUUGUUUGGUGAUGGUCAUAGAUUCAUUGGUUGAUUGUGACCAUUAACUUGGUUAAUCUGUGACCAAUAAGAAAGAUAAAUUGUGACGAAAAAAUAAUAUGUGACCUAAAAAAUUGAUAAUUUGUAGCUAUUUAAUAAGUUGUGACUUAUAAUAUUUGUGAUUUGUGAUCUAUAAAUAAAUUGUGAUGUACAAAUCUUUUGUCUGUGAUCGACGUACAAAAUUGUGAUAUUAAAAAUUUAGAUUUGUGACCGAAAACUAAGUUGUGACUAAAAAUUAAACCGUAACUAAUUAUUUUUUUGAUUUAUGUUCGAUGAACAAACUGUGACUUACAAAAUUUUUGAAUUAUGAUCAUAAAAAAAUUUGACAUAAAAUUUUUGAUUUGGUCAAAUUAAUAAGUAACUAAUUAAAUUGUUAAUUUGUGACCAAAUUGUGUAGAUAUGUGACGUAAAUAUAUUUCAUUAAUAAAAUAAUUAAUUAACUAAUUAAAUCAUAAAUACAUUUUAAUAAAAAUCUGAUUUUUGAAGUUUGGAACUUAUUUUCUUAAUUUUGAAAUGUGUGAUACUUAAAUUCUUAAUUAUGAAAUUUUCCCAUGUUUUAUUUUGGUAGUUAGAUAUUUGCACAGUGUUAUAAGUGCAUGUUUGUCAUCCGACUAAGAAAUGAAUAGUAUCAGCCAUAACGUCAUUAUAACUUUUUUAUGACAACUGGUUGUCUAAAUUCACGGUGUGACUACUCACACAAGUAUGGAAUAAUUUAACUAUUUUGGAAUUUUGAGAGGGUUAUGGAAAACAAAUUCAAGUGAGAAAUGGUAGUUGAAGUUAUGGAAAACUAACUUCUAUGUUAAAUAAUUUUGGCACAUUAAAAUUAGUCAAUAGAGAAACAGUACAACUGUAGAUGGAUUUUUUUCAUUUCACUUAUUUCUUGUGCUAUGUUGUACGAAUUAUCAAACAAACUAUAAAUGUAUGUUGAACACUAUGUUAUUUAUUAUAAGUAAGAUAAACAAAUCAAAUCCAACAUGUUUUAAGGGGUCCAUUUGUGCUAUUUGUUCUCCAGAUACAUUUUUGACAUUUCGACACACCACCUCUUAUAAGCAACUGAGAAUAUGUUAACGUCUCACAAAAUAUGUUGCGUCUUCCCGUUUGCUAAUAAGAAUUGUCAAAAUGGAUUAAAGACAACUAAAAGGACAAUACGAUCAAGAUAACGGAUCCAACUCCGCUAUAAGUUUACUAUUCUAAUCAGCAAAGAAUGCCUAAAAUUCAUGGAGUAGCGCAUCUAUCUAAUAGAUUUAGUCUUCGUCGAGCUAAUUUAUAAAUUAGUUGUAAAUAGUCAAACUUUAUUUUCAAACACAUAUUUCCAUUAACCCACAAAUAUUAUCCACUUAUUUGAAGAGAGCUAUGAAAGUCGAAUUAGAGUAAAAUUGGUAGUUGAAGUUGUGCAAAGACCAUAUCUCUAUUGUCAUUUGAUAUUGACACAAAUAAAUGAGUCAAUGGAGAAGUAUUAAAUUCGUGUGAAAUAGUAAAACUCUAGAUGGACUUUCUUAGUAUCACUAUACUAACUUUCAAAUGCUAUACAUAUUAGGCGGCACACUAUUAACCAUGUGGGGUUUGGCAAUGCACAUUCUCAACCGACGAGGAUGAUAGCCCGUUAAGAUGAGUAGACCAUUAAAAAGGCCAAGCUAGGGUAGGGGGCCUGAUCGUUUUCUACACUCUGUACGAGCCAAUUCAUGGGCUAUUGUCCCCAAUAAUUAAUGGGGGAAAAAAUCAUAAAUCAAGUGUCAAGUAUCACCAAUUCAAUUUUCAUGUCUUAGGUUUAAAAAUGAAAAAUUGGGUAUUUAUUUAUUAAUUAAAUAUGAUAAGAUCACAAUUAUAUAAUUAAUGGUCACAUGUACAUAAUUAUAUGUCACAACGUAUUUAUUAGUCACAAAUUAUUUCGAUGUCACAAAUCAAAAAAUUUAUAGGUGACAAUUUAUUUCGUUGAUUACAGAUUAAAAAUAUUUACAGGUCACAGUUUAUCAAUCGAUCACAUAUUUUCAAAUUUGUUGAUCACAAAUUAUCAAAUUUUAAGAUCGCAGUUUAAUAGUAAGUUAAAAGAAUGAAAUAAUUGGUCACAUACACCAAAUACCCAACCCCCGAUCCCAAUCAACCACUAAUACUUGACCACAAAUCAACCAAAUAGACUACAAACACUCUUCAUCCCAUCCCGUCGUCACCAUUGCCUCCAUUACCGCCACAACUCCAACAAAAACCACCGGACACUAAAACAUGAAAAACCAACAAAUCCAACAAAAGCCACCACCACGGCAAUACUACAAACCAAGCAGACACACUACCGUGGUCAUAGAUCACACGCAGCACCGUCGUUCACAAGAUCCCGCUGAGCUGUAGCGAGCGGAUGAACAUCAAAUCUCGGAACCAGCCCACCAACAGCACCACAAAAUCAGUUAAAAACCACCACAAAUCCAUCUUAAAAAUCACCACAAAAACCACCACAAACCGCUACUACUCCAACAACGAGAGCUCCACUUCAAUGAAGAAAAAAAGAUAGUGGAGAGAUAUAUCUCCGCUAUUGCCAAAGCAAUGGUUGCAUUGGUGCUCACAGAGGCGCCUGAAAGGCUCCUUCACACGAUAUUAAAUCCAAGAAACAAGAAAAACCUUAAUCGAAUAGAAAUAAAAAUUGCAGAAAAAUUGAAAAUGAACAGAAAGGAAUUAUUUCGGCCUAAGCCCCGAAAAUUCGAUGACCGCUUCUAACGCCUACAUCCCCCGUUGAGCAUCCAAAGAUUUGGAUUACGUUCGGUUGCAAUAAACAACCAAAAUGGCAACAAAAAUUACAUAUUAUUCAGAGAGAUGAAAAUGAGACUUAUCUCUCAAGAAUAGUGAUGGAUCUACAGAGAUUCACUAAGAUCUCAGCCCUCAAACCCUUUGAACAUCACCACGAAGUUACAAUAGAGAAAUCACUCAGAUUUCUUCACUAUCCACAUAGAAUAUUACAAAUCGAAGGAAGACCUCAAUACACUAUACAAAAAAUCAAAGAUUUUAAGCAUGAAACACUACAGAAAAGAUCAUCUCUCUCAAAUCGCCCUUUUUCUCCUCCAAAAAUGCUAGAGACAUAAUGAACCAAGAGAAUGAAAAAGUCAGUCAUUGCAAAAGACUCUAGCCUUUUAAAGAAGGCAGAUGAACUGGCACAAGGAGUCCAAAGAAUAUCUUCCAUCCAACGUCCAGAAUUUAUCCACGUGUUAGUCAUCCAAUUAAGUUACCACCACUUAUUAAGUCGCACUUCACAUAAACACGAUUUACCAAGAUUCAAAUUCUAGAAGCACCAAAUGUACAGAACAGGGUUCGUCUCCAACAGUGCCACUCCAAUGAAGAUAGAAAGACCACCACAAAACACCCAUUAACACCACCUUAAAACCGCCAAGAAACACUGACAACAACACCACAAAAUCGUUACAAAAAUCACCACAAACCACCAUAGAACAACACAAAAUUGCUGAAGCAGCAACAUGCCAGUCGUGGCUCAAUUCAUUGUUGCAUAUCACGGCUCAGAUUUCGAUCUGAGCGUCGUGACUUAGAUUUCGAUCUGGGCUUCGCAGAGACGCCGUUCUGAUGAAGAAAGAAAAGAAAAAUAAAUGGAGAAAAUGAGGUGGAGGAGGAAAAAGCUACCUUGGUGAAGAUGAAAAUAGGUUUGGUGUGAAUUGGGAUACGGUGUGGUGGGUUGAGGUUGGGGUUGACGUUUGGAUAAAUCAAUACCUGAUUUAUGAUUAAUCAAAUGUUGAACCUGAUUUUUGAAAAGUAGUCUUUAAACAUCAGUUACUAUGUAAUUUCCACUAAUUAUGGGAAAAUUAGGCCAAAUACUCUAAAAAUUGAAAAGAGUCUAUUAAUGCUCUAAAUAAAAAUUAAACUUCGUAUAAACUGUAUUAUUUAUGUCCUUACUAAACAUGUGUUUGGUUGCCAUUUUCAUUUUCAUUUGUAGAAGAAUUUGCAUUGUUACACAGUAAAAAAGCAGGUGCAUUUAAUGUCCAUCAGAAAUGUUUUUACAUUUUUACCCUUUUUUGCAUUUAUUUCAAAGUUAAGGAGGGAGCAUUUCAGGAAAUUUCCAUGAUGUUGAGUCAAAAAAGAUGCCUGUGUAUGGCCGACUUACUGUUUCAAUGGGCAAAAAUUUACAGAAUAUGUGUUGAAAAUGGGAAACAAACGGGGGCUAAAAUCUCCGAACCUCAACCCUUUCUCACAUUAUUCCUUACAAAACCACAACUCUCUCUCUCUCUCUCUCUCAUUUCAGAACCCUCAUCUCUGUCAUCCUCGAAGCUCUGCUGUCUUCCUCCGUCUCCUCUCCGAGGACCUCUUAAACAUCAAGCCUUAAAAGCCCCAAAUCACUAAUAGCAAAAACCCUCACCUGAUUCUUACUUUGAAAUAAAAAAACUAACCUGACUUUGAAGUCUGCAAUGGCUGGAAAAAGUGGGUCGAAGAUAAAAAUAAUUGUUGAUGAAGAAGCAUCUUCAAAGAAGAAAAGAAUUUUUUUCAAAACGUUUUAAGGAUUUUGACUAUUUAUUCCAUUUUCAGUCAUUAGAGAUCACGAUUUUUAUUUUCAGCACAAAUGAGACUAGUAUUUCUACUCUUAUUAAAGAUGGAGAGGCAAGUAUCUAGAGUGUUUAAUAUCCUUAGUGACAUUGGAGAGGCAAGACUAGGAUUUGAUUGCUAUUUCCACCUGUAGGGUCGAUAUCUAGCCAUUAUAUCUAUCCCAAUUGGAUGGAAUUUAUGUAAGGUAUCCAAUGGAUAUUAUAAACCCUUUUGAACCAUACUAGUCACUGGUCAGCAUAGUGUGGCAGGUACUUGAAUUUUCAAAUUGCAUUGCCUUUCGAUUUCGUUGUCACUUUUAUUUAUUUAUUUUUUUUUUUACAAGGUGUCCUAUUCUAGACUAAUCCUUGGGUCUGUGAUCCGGCCCCUCUUCACACAGUCCGGUUAAUCGCAGGAUGUGCCUCCAACUGGCCAGGGUCCGAGCGCUCCCCACCUGGUCUGACAAAGUGCCAAGCAAGUCAAUCCAAGUUGCACCUUGCCUUCCAAGAAUAAUCCUUGCCUUCCAAGUUCCCACUUGCCUUCCAAGAAUAAAUCCUUGCCUUCCAAGAAUAAAUCGUUGUCACUUUUAUUGUUAGAC